GAUGAACGCUGGCGGCGUGCUUAACACAUGCAAGUCGAACGGUGAAGGCGGAGCUUGCUCUGCUGGAUCAGUGGCGAACGGGUGAGUAACACGUGAGCAAUCUGCCCCUGACUCUGGGAUAAGCGCUGGAAACGGCGUCUAAUACUGGAUACGAGCUGCGAAGGCAUCUUCAGCAGCUGGAAAGAAUUUCGGUCAGGGAUGAGCUCGAGGCCUAUCAGCUUGUUGGUGAGGUAAUGGCUCACCAAGGCGUCGACGGGUAGCCGGCCUGAGAGGGUGACCGGCCACACUGGGACGGAGACACGGCCCAGACUCCUACGGGAGGCAGCAGUGGGGAAUAUUGCACAAUGGGCGAAAGCCUGAUGCAGCAACGCCGCGUGAGGGACGACGGCCUUCGGGUUGUAAACCUCUUUUAGCAGGGAAGAAGCGAAAGUGACGGUACCUGCAGAAAAAGCGCCGGCUAACUACGU
rnacentral:rRNA from 1 species